GACGAACACUGGUGGCGCUGCCUAAUACAUGUCCGUCAAAACAGAGCGACCGGAGCUUGCGCUGGUCAAUCUAGUGCCAAACGGGUAAGUGACACUGGCGUAACCAGCCCAUCUUAGGGGGAUAACCUUCGGACACGGAUGCUCAAACCUCGUAGGUCUUCUAACCGCAUGGUUUGAAGAGGAAAAGAGGCGCAAGCUUCUGCUGAUGGAUGGACCCGCGGUGCAUUAGCUAGUUGGUGAGGUAACCGCUCACCAGGGCCGUGAUGCAUAUCCGACCUGAGAGGGUGAUCGGCCAUCUUUGGGACUGAGACACAGCCCAGACUCCUACGGGAGGGAGCCGUCUGGAAUCUUCCUCACUGGACACAACUCUGACUCAACAACGCCGCGAGAGUGAAGAAGGCCUGCGGAUGUUACAACUCUGUUGUUCGAAAAGAAUAAGUGCUACAGCCGCUGGUGCCGCCUUGCACGGUAUCUAAUCAAAAAGCCACCGUUAACUACGUGUCACCAGCCGCAGUGCUACAUGCGUGAGCAGCGUUGCUCGGAUUUAUAGAGGGUCUAACGAGCGCAGCGGUUCCUUAAGUCUGAUGUGAAAGGCCGCGUCUCAACCGGGGGAGGGUCAUUGGAAACUGGGGAUCUUGAUUGCAGAAGAGGAGAGUGGAAUUCCAUGUGUAGCGGUGAAAUGCGUAGAUAUAUGGAGGAACACCAGUGGCGAAGGCGACUCUCUGGUCUGUAACUGACGCUGAGGCUCGAAAGCGUGGGUAGCAAACAGGAUUAGAUCCCCUGGUAGUCCCCGCCGUAAACGAUGAGUGGUAAGUGUUGGAGGGUUUCCGCCCUUCAGUGCUGCAGUUAACGCAUUAAGCACUCCGCCUGGGGAGUACGACCGCAAGGUUGAAAUUCAAAGGAAUUGACGGGGACCCGCACAAGCGGUGGAGCAUGUGGUUUAAUUUGAAGCAACGCGAAGAACCUUACCAAGUCUUGACAUCCUUUGACCACUCUAGAGAUAGAGCUUUCCCUUCGGGGACAAAGUGACAGGUGGUGCAUGGUUGUCGUCAGCUCGUGUCGUGAGAUGUUGGGUUAAGUCCCGCAUCGAGCGCACCCCUUAUUACUAGUUGCCAGCAUUGAGUUGGGCACUCUACUGAGACUACCGGUGACAAACCGGAGGAAGGUGGGGAUGACGUCAAAUCAUCAUGCCCGUUAUGAUCUGGGGUACUCACGUGUUACAAUGGAUGGUACAUCGAGCAGAGAACUCGUGAGGGUAAGCGAAUCUGUUAAAGCCAUUGUCAGUUAGGAGUGUAGGAUUCAUCUGGCAUGCACGAAGCCGGAAUCUCUAGUAAUCGCGGAUCAGCACGCGGCGGUGAAUAAGUUUUCGGCUUU
rnacentral:rRNA from 1 species